rnacentral:rRNA from 1 species
GAUCCUGGCUCAGAUUGAACGCUGGCGGCAGGCCUAACACAUGCAAGUCGAACGGUAACAGGAAACAGCUUGCUGUUUCGCUGACGAGUGGCGGACGGGUGAGUAAUGUCUGGGAAACUGCCUGAUGGAGGGGGAUAACUACUGGAAACGGUAGCUAAUACCGCAUAACGUCGCAAGACCAAAGAGGGGGGACCUUCGGGCCGUCUUGCCAUCGGAUGUGCCCAGAUGGGAUUAGCUAGUAGGUGGGGUAACGG